rnacentral:sRNA from 1 species
UCGCAUUAGGUACAAGCAUUUUAUAUGCGC